rnacentral:rRNA from 1 species
GUGGGGAAUCUUCCGCAAUGGACGAAAGUCUGACGGAGCGACGCCGCGUGAGUGAAGAAGGCCUUCGGGUCGUAAAGCUCUGUCAUCAGGGACGAAUGGCCGGUGGAGUGGAAAGCCACCGGAUUGACGGUACCUGAGAAGGAAGCCACGGCUAACUACGUGCCAGCAGCCGCGGUAAUACGUAGGUGGCAAGCGUUGUCCGGAAUUAUUGGGCGUAAAGCGCGCGCAGGUGGGAUCUUAAGUCCAUUUUGAAAGUUCGGAGCUCAACUCCGUGAUGGGAUGGGAACUGGGAUUCUUGAGUACCGGAGAGGAAAGCGGAAUUCCCCGUGUAGCGGUGAAAUGCGUAGAUAUGGGGAGGAACACCAGUGGCGAAGGCGGCUUUCUGGACGGUGUCUGACACUGAGGCGCGAAAGCCAGGGGAGCGAACGGGAUUAGAUACCCGAGUAGUCC